GAUUCGUCACACUAUCAUUAACUGAAUCCAUAGGUUAAUGAGGCGAACCGGGGGAACUGAAACAUCUAAGUACCCCGAGGAAAAGAAAUCAACCGAGAUUCCCCCAGUAGCGGCGAGCGAACGGGGAGGAGCCCAGAGCCUGAAUCAGCAUGUGUGUUAGUGGAAGCGUCUGGAAAGGCGCGCGAUACAGGGUGACAGCCCCGUACACAAAAGCGCAUGUGCUGUGAGCUCGAUGAGUAGGGCGGGACACGUGGUAUCCUGUCUGAAUAUGGGGGGACCAUCCUCCAAGGCUAAAUACUCCUGACUGACCGAUAGUGAACCAGUACCGUGAGGGAAAGGCGAAAAGAACCCCGGCGAGGGGAGUGAAAAAGAACCUGAAACCGUGUACGUACAAGCAGUGGGAGCACCCUUUGGGGUGUGACUGCGUACCUUUUGUAUAAUGGGUCAGCGACUUAUAUUCUGUAGCAAGGUUAACCGAAUAGGGGAGCCGUAGGGAAACCGAGUCUUAACCGGGCGUUAAGUUGCAGGGUAUAGACCCGAAACCCGGUGAUCUAGCCAUGGGCAGGUUGAAGGUUGGGUAACACUAACUGGAGGACCGAACCGACUAAUGUUGAAAAAUUAGCGGAUGACCUGUGGCUGGGGGUGAAAGGCCAAUCAAACCGGGAGAUAGCUGGUUCUCCCCGAAAGCUAUUUAGGUAGCGCCUCGUGAAUUCAUCUCCGGGGGUAGAGCACUGUUUCGGCUAGGGGGCCAUCCCGGCUUACCAACCCGAUGCAAACUGCGAAUACCGGAGAAUGUUAUCACGGGAGACACACGGCGGGUGCUAACGUCCGUCGUGAAGAGGGAAACAACCCAGACCGCCAGCUAAGGUCCCAAAGUCAUGGUUAAGUGGGAAACGAUGUGGGAAGGCCCAGACAGCCAGGAUGUUGGCUUAGAAGCAGCCAUCAUUUAAAGAAAGCGUAAUAGCUCACUGGUCGAGUCGGCCUGCGCGGAAGAUGUAACGGGGCUAAACCAUGCACCGAAGCUGCGGCAGCGACACUGUGUGUUGUUGGGUAGGGGAGCGUUCUGUAAGCCUGUGAAGGUGUGUCGUGAGGCAUGCUGGAGGUAUCAGAAGUGCGAAUGCUGACAUAAGUAACGAUAAAGCGGGUGAAAAGCCCGCUCGCCGGAAGACCAAGGGUUCCUGUCCAACGUUAAUCGGGGCAGGGUGAGUCGACCCCUAAGGCGAGGCCGAAAGGCGUAGUCGAUGGGAAACGGGUUAAUAUUCCCGUACUUGGUGUUACUGCGAAGGGGGGACGGAGAAGGCUAUGUUGGCCGGGCGACGGUUGUCCCGGUUUAAGCGUGUAGGUGUGUGUUCCAGGUAAAUCCGGUU
rnacentral:rRNA from 1 species